GUCCCACAUCUCCAUUGGCUGACCCAAUCACCACCGAGUACGAGAGCUAGGGAUUCUGUCGUUGUUCAGAAGAAGUCUUCAUCGGUAAAUGGUCAACGACAGUUUUACUUUGUCAAUACUCUAGAAUGUGAUAUAAUAUAUGUGUUUGAUGUUGAAAUA